rfam:Triticum aestivum genome assembly, contig: Triticum_aestivum_CS42_TGACv1_scaffold_194869_3AL
UCAAUACUCCCUUCGUCCGAAAAUACUUGUCAUUAAAAUAGAUAAAAAAAUGUAUCUAAAACUAAAAUACAUCUAAAUAUAUCCCCUUUUAUACAUUUUGAUGAUGAGUAUUUUCGGACGGAGGGAGUACAUC